rnacentral:rRNA from 1 species
GGUCUUGCUGUCACUUAUAGAUGGAUCCGCGCUGCAUUAGCUAGUUGGUAAGGUAACGGCUUACCAAGGCAACGAUGCAUAGCCGACCUGAGAGGGUGAUCGGCCACACUGGAACUGAGACACGGUCCAGACUCCUACGGGAGGCAGCAGUAGGGAAUCUUCCGCAAUGGGCGAAAGCCUGACGGAGCAACGCCGCGUGAGUGAUGAAGGUCUUCGGAUCGUAAAACUCUGUUAUUAGGGAAGAACAUAUGUGUAAGUAACUGUGCACAUCUUGACGGUACCUAAUCAGAAAGCCACGGCUAACUACGUGCCAGCAGCCGCGGUAAUACGUAGGUGGCAAGCGUUAUCCGGAAUUAUUGGGCGUAAAGCGCGCGUAGGCGGUUUUUUAAGUCUGAUGUGAAAGCCCACGGCUCAACCGUGGAGGGUCAUUGGAAACUGGAAAACUUGAGUGCAGAAGAGGAAAGUGGAAUUCCAUGUGUAGCGGUGAAAUGCGCAGAGAUAUGGAGGAACACCAGUGGCGAAGGCGACUUUCUGGUCUGUAA